GGCUGAGGAGACUCUCCGCGCUCCUGCUCCUCUCCGUCUCUCUCCCUCACUUCUCUGGUUGUCCCCCCUCCCUCCGUCUCUUACAUCACUUCGGUAUUGGCGUCAGAACUCAGCCAAGUAUCGGUAAUGUUAUGGUCUGUACGCUACCGUGGGAGCUUUCAGUUGUGGUUGAUGGGAAGAGGGGCGGAGUUGUCCAGUGUCAACCACAACUCAGAGAAACCCAUUCUUCAGCACAAGACAAGCCUGUGGAUGCAUCGGAGCGGAAAGACUGAGCCCAACACAAGAAUUACCAGACGUCUGCAGAAUUUCAGCCUCAUCACAACCAGUCUGAGAGCCACGACUUCCUCUUCUCCAACCGUUUCUGUGAUGUUAGAGGAAAAAAACCCUGAAAGUGUAAAGAGAAAGCACUAAUAUGUAUGCAAGUCUCAUGUAUUUGUGUAGUUUCAGAAGUCUAAUACAUCCAUUAGCUGCUUCUUUGAGUUCUGACCCAUUCCAUGCUCACCUGUUGUCUGUGAUACUCCAAUGUUUUCAGGCUGUGACCCAUUUCAGCUACCGUACUCUUCUGACCCGAAGCAUCACCGUCUGUCUGCUGUUGAAUCGACAUGCUCCCAAAUGUAACACAAAUGUAAGAACUUAUCAUAAAGACCACGAAAUCGGGUUGCUGCACUUUUCAUUUCAUGCAGGAUGAUGGUUUUCCUCAACUUUGAAGGUUUUCUGUCAUUUUGUUGGUGCCUUUUUGGUUUUACUGUAAUAAAAAUAAUGUUUGUGAGAACAUCUCCAAUGUUUUUUGGGUCAUUUAUUGAG